GCGAGUGAAGCGGCAACAGCUCAAUUUGAAAUCUGGCUCUUUCAGGGUCCGAGUUGUAAUUUGUAGAGGGUGCUUUGGAGUUGACUGUGGUCUAAGUUCCUUGGAACAGGACGUCGCAGAGGGUGAGAAUCCCGUAUGUGGCCGCCAGUCUUCGCCGUGUAAAGCCCCUUCGACGAGUCGAGUUGUUUGGGAAUGCAGCUCUAAAUGGGAGGUAAAUUUCUUCUAAAGCUAAAUAUUGGCCAGAGACCGAUAGCGCACAAGUAGAGUGAUCGAAAGAUGAAAAGCACUUUGGAAAGAGAGUCAAAAAGCACGUGAAAUUGUUGAAAGGGAAGCGCUUGCAGCCAGACUUGCCUGUAGUUGCUCAUCCGGGCUUUUGCCCGGUGCACUCUUCUAUAGGCAGGCCAGCAUCAGUCCUGGCGGUUGGAUAAAUGCCUGUUGAAUGUACCUCUCUUCGGGGAGGACUUAUAGCCUCGGGCGGCAUACAACCAGCCGGGAUUGAGGUCCGCGCAUCUGCUAGGAUGCUGGCGUAAUGGCUGUAAG
rnacentral:rRNA from 1 species